AGGAUGGAAGUGUGUUGUUGAAUUGGUUCUAAGUGACUUUAGAAAUUAGUUGGGGUGUUUGAGAACUUUGUUUGCUUCACGAUAACAAUCCAAGUCCACUUGCCUUGCAUCACUCAUCUGAAUGUAGUCAACAUUUCAGGUUCCAAGCAUUAUGCACGUAGAAGAUAUUGACGUUCACUUUCUGUGAGAAUAUAGGUAUCACCAACUGUUCAAGAAAUUGAAGCUUCAGCCACUAUAAGGUUUUCCAACAUAGGAACUGGUUAGUUAUGUUUCAUUUUCUGUAAGGAUUUUUAUCAGAGGAAAUCCAUUCUUAGUAAAUUUAUAAUAUCGUUUGGAC
rnacentral:lncRNA from 1 species